GAUAUCGCAGUUUUGUUCUCUGAAGCUUAUUCUCUAAUCACAAAUCUAUUCCUGCAUUACUUUGCAAAGCACUCAAACAACCACUACUCCCUUUUCAAUCACAGUGAAAAGCUACUGCCAUGAUGCAUUCUCUCACUUCUCCACUCUAGCAUCUCUCUCUCUACCUAGCUUAUAUGUUCUGAAUCAAGACAUCUUAUAGUGAACUCUCUCUCUCUCUCCCUUUCUCUCUACCUAGCUUAUAUGUUCUGAAUCAAGACAUCUUAUAGUGAACUCUCUCUCUCUCUUACACACACAUACACACAAUCUCUCUCUCUCAUACACACACAAUCAAAGCAUCUUGAGUGUUCUCUCUCUGUGGCAACAUCUUAAGCUUGUAUCAUCUGAUCAGAACAUCUUUAAUUUUUCUCUCUCUCUAGAUCC
rnacentral:lncRNA from 1 species